UUGGUGUGAAUCGAUAAGUCGAAUAAUCGACUUUAAAUUUCGAUACUGUAUAUACUGCUGUGUUCAACACAAAGGAUUUAACUAAGUACAGGUACUAUUACGGUAUUCAGCUAAGAAAAACUAUCCAAGCAUCUUUUUGGAAAAUAAUUUAAAGUUUUCUUUAAAUAAAAAAGGAUAUAAGAAUAUAAAAAAUCUUGGUAUUUAUUUAUCAUAAUUACUGAUAAAAUACCAUUUAUUUGUACGUUAAUGUCGGAUUCUAUACGAGAGAGUUUAGACGACAGUGGAUUGAACAAUCAGGUCCCACAAUUUCUGAAGUUUUCACUAACUAUCCUCGUCUCUUGGAUUUUAAUGGAGAAAUGAUUGAACGAGAAUUUGAUUCUCUAUACCCGGAUUCAGGAGAUAAUUUUUUGGAAAAAUUUCCCACGUUCUAUGCCCCCCGUAUUCUUCGUUAUGUCCAAGAA